rnacentral:rRNA from 1 species
GUGCAGCAGGCGCGAAUUUUUCACAAUGGGGGAAACCCUGAUGGAGCGACGCCGCGUGGAGGACGAAGGCCCUCGGGUCGUAAACUCCUGUCAUGCGGGAACAAGAAAGUGAUAGUACCGCAAGAGGAAGAGACGGCUAACUCUGUGCCAGCAGCCGCGGUAAUACAGAGGUCUCAAGCGUUAUUCGGAUUCAUUGGGCGUAAAGGGUGCGUAGGUGGCGAUGUAAGUCUGGUGUGAAAUCUCGGAGCUUAACUCCGAAACUGCAUUGGAUACUGCGUUGCUUGAGGAUUGUAGAGGAGAGUGGAAUUCACGGUGUAGCAGUGAAAUGCGUAGAUAUCGUGAGGAAGACCAGUUGCGAAGGCGACUCUCUGGGCAAUUCCUGACACUGAGGCACGAAGGCCAGGGGAGCAAACGGGAUUAGAUACCCCCGUAGU